rnacentral:rRNA from 1 species
UACAGAGGGUGCAAGCGUUGUUCGGAAUUAUUGGGCGUAAAGCGCGUGUAGGCGGCUUUGCAAGUCGGGUGUGAAAGCCCUCAGCUCAACUGAGGAAGUGCGCCCGAAACUGCAGAGCUUGAGUGCCGGAGAGGGUGGCGGAAUUCCCCAAGUAGAGGUGAAAUUCGUAGAUAUCGGGAGGAACACCGGUGGCGAAGGCGGUCUUCUGGACGGGGACUGACGCUGAGGCGCGAAAGCGUGGGGAGCAAACGGG